rnacentral:rRNA from 1 species
GACAGAGGGUGCAAACGUUGUUCGGAAUUACUGGGCGUAAAGCGAGUGUAGGCGGUCUCCUAAGUCGGGUGUGAAAGCCCCGGGCUCAACCCGGGAAGUGCACUCGAAACUGGGAGGCUAGAGUAUCGGAGAGGUUGGUGGAAUUCUCGGUGUAGAGGUGAAAUUCGUAGAGACCCGGAGGAACACCGGUGGCGAAGGCGGCUUCCUGGUCUGCAACUGACGCUGUGGCGCGAAAGCUAGGGGAGCAAACGGG